rnacentral:miRNA from 14 species
UAAGUUAAUCUCCAAGCCCAAU